ensembl:miRNA Mir6351 microRNA 6351
UAGCGUUGCUCAGGGAGCACAUGUAGGAAAGCUGAAAUGGAGGACGGAACACUUUGGACUUUGCUCAGUUUGCUUUGCAGAGAUCCUCUGGGCAUGCUC